rnacentral:misc_RNA from 1 species
GCACUGACUGUAGAGAACUGAGUAUCGCUCAACAAUGUCAUAAUUUCUACCUCACACCUGUCGAUCUCGUCAAUCCCAUUCUGCAGUCUAGAAGUCAGUUGUUCCUCUCUGCUCCUGAGUGUUCCAACUUCACUAUUCAAAAUUUUAAGUUUGUCAUACAACGACUCGUUUACUUCACCAAUCCUUUCGAUCUCUUUAUCCUUACAGGCAAUACCUU